rnacentral:rRNA from 1 species
CUAGGGGGACCGCCGCCGAUAAGGCGGAGGAAGGAGUGGGCCACGGCAGGUCAGUAUGCCCCGAAUCCCCCGGGCCACACGUGAGCUGCAAUGGCGGGGACAAUGGGAUCCGACCCCGAAAGGGGAAGGUAAUCCCCAAACCCCGCCUCAGUUGGGAUCGAGGGCUGAAACCCGUCCUCGUGAACAUGGAAUCCCUAGUAAUCGCGUGUCAUCAGCGCGCGGUGAAUACGUCCCUGCUCCUUGCACACACCGCCCGUCACUCCACCCGAGCGGGGUCUGGAUGAGGCUCCGUCCUCUGGGCAGGGUCGAGUCCAGGCUCCGUGAGGGGGGAGAAGUCGUAACAAGGUAGCCGUAGGGGAACCUACGGCUCGAUCACCUCCUAUCGCCGGAA